rnacentral:lncRNA from 1 species
GGAAAUAGGUUUAUCUAAAUCAUUAGGUAACUCACCAAAAAAGGAAGAUUCUUGGCCGCAUAAUGGUUUAUUUUGUUCUAAGCUUUCUUGAAUAAUUUUUUUAAAUUCGGUUUAUCCAAACGCCCAACAAUCUCCUUUUAAACAGUAGUCUCCACCUAAAUAGUAGUUUCCCCUUGAACAAUGGUGUUUUCUGGAAUAAAUUUUUUAAUAGUUAAUGAGUCAUGUAUCACUUCUUCUCUCUCAUUGUUCU